UACGAAGGGGACUAGCGUUGUUCGGAUUUACUGGGCGUAAAGCGCGCGUAGGCGGAUCGCUAAGUCAGGGGUGAAAUGCCAAGGCUCAACCUUGGAACUGCCUUUGAUACUGACGAUCUGGAGAUUGGGAGAGGUGAGUGGAAUUCCGAGUGUAGAGGUGAAAUUCGUAGAUAUUCGGAGGAACACCAGUGGCGAAGGCGGCUCACUGGCCCGAUACUGACGACUGAGG
rnacentral:rRNA from 1 species